CGAGUAAAGCAGCGAUGCGCUUAGGGAUGGGCCUGCGGCGGAUUAGGUAGUUGGUGGGGUAACGGCCUACCAAGCCGAUGAUCCGUAGGGGGCGUGAGAGCGUGGCCCCCCACACUGGCACUGAGACACGGGCCAGACUCCUACGGGAGGCAGCAGUGAGGAAUAUUGCACAAUGGGCGCAAGCCUGAUGCAGCAACGCCGCGUGAGGGACGAAGGCCUUCGGGUUGUAAACCUCUUUUCUGAGGGACGAGGAAGGACGGUACCUCAGGAAUAAGUCUCGGCUAACUACGUGCCAGCAGCCGCGGUAAAACGUAGGAGGCGAGCGUUAUCCGGAUUUACUGGGCGUAAAGCGCGCGCAGGUGGCUUCGUGAGUCGGACAUGAAAGCUCCUGGCUUAACUGGGAGAGGCUGUUCGAUACUGCGGGGCUUGAGGUUGGGAGAGGGACGCGGAAUUCCCGGUGUAGUGGUGGAAUGCGUAGAUAUCGGGAGGAACACCAGUGGCGCAAGCGGCGUCCUGGCCCACACCUGACGCUGAGGUGCGAAAGCGUGGGUAGCAAACAGGAUUAGAUACCCUGGUAGUCCACGCUGUAAACGAUGUCAACUGGGUGUCGGUAGUUUUACACUAUCGGUGCCGAAGCUAACGCG
rnacentral:rRNA from 1 species